AAAAAAGAAGAAGAAAAAAG
rnacentral:sRNA from 1 species